CCAGGAAUCCAACCCUCAAUUCUUCGGUCCUUGGGCCUAGGCUUCAACCACUGAGCCAGGGCCAGAGAAGGCAUUUUGCAAGCUCUGGGCAGCCUGAGUGAUAAUGGCAGAAGGAAUUGCUCUGCCCUGGCCAGUGUGGUUGGGCGUCGCCCCAUGCACCGAGAGGUCACUGGGUUCCAUUCCAGGAUCCAGGCUGAUGGAGCACCUAUAACUGGAAAAAUGCUGGUCACCAUGGCAAAGGAAAAGAGGAGCUUCUGCUUGAAAGUGACACUGCCCAGGGUCAGAUGCAUUGUUUUAAGGAGCAAAUCAAAAUGACUGAUAAUGUAAAGAGCAUAUAACUUAUCAUUUUAAAGCACUUAGACGUGGAUAGAACUUUUAAAUGCUUCACUGGAAUUGGAACAGUUUAUUCUUUGUUCUCUUUGUUCUCAGAGCACAGAAGGUUAUAGGCCUCAGAGUUAAGAUCUAGUUCUUACUCAAUGGUUAAGGAAAGGCAGCUAACAAGAUGGAAACUAACAAGAAUCCAUGUAUCAUUAUGGGGUUAGUUUCCCAAUACAGAGCUUUAUAACAGGUAUUGAUUCCAAAUCUAUAGCAGUAUUGUAGGUCUCAUCCUUGGGGUAGCUGGACAGAGUCUUGGGGUGGUGAAACUCCGGAGCCUAUUGUCUUUGGUAAGGACUAGCCUCACUCUUCUACUCCUGAAUGCUAUUGCUAAUAAUAAUUACAAAUAUUAUUAUUUUAUAUGUGCUGGCAAGAAACACUGGCUAGAGCAAUGGUUACUAUAUUCUGGAGACUAAUACUAGGCAAUGAGCAUGUCUUUACCAACCUAGUAAAGUGAGAAAAAUAAGUAAUGUUUAAUGAGUGCAAUUGACUGGAUGUUUAUGUUCCCUCAAAAUUCAUAUGUUGAAAUCUUGACCUAAUGUGAUAGUACUUGAAGACUUUGGGGGGUAAUUAGGUCAAAAGUGUGGAGCCCUCAAGAAUGAGAUCAGGGUUGAAACUAAGAUGGCGGCAUAGAUAAACACCGGGAAAUUGCUGCUUCCCACAACAAUCGAUAAAUGCAUCAAAAACACAAGGUGGACAUCAUCCAGAACUACAG